UAGCCGCGGCAUGACCAAGCCCUGAGCAUGCAACUUUAAAGGGACUUCUAGAUUUCACAGACGAGAACUUCGCUGGCAGGUGAGGUGCAGGUGGCACAAUUUCUGUUUCUUUCCAGUGAACCCGGUUAUCCUGAUCUGAAAAGUAGAGGCAGUCAUCUCUUCUCCACGAGGCAUUUGUCAGAAUUCAUUGAAAUAAUGGCAUAAAGUCAUUGGUUACCUAGAAGAUGCUCAAUCAUGGCGCAAAUAUCUUCUCUCUCGAAAGUAAGAAUCCUGAACCUAUCUAGAACCAGAGAUGUGGAAAUAAAUUCUGCUCUCAGAGGCCAUGUGGCGGGUGCCCAGAGAUUCGGAGUUCCAGUCUGGGAGGAAAAGAAUCGUGCUGCCGAUUCUACAGGCUUUAAAGUGUAAACAUUCGCUACAGUGUUACUAUAGCCAGCACUGGAGGAUGCUGGGAGCAAUUUCCCUGGCGGAAACAGUCCCUCUCCUGGAAAAGCCAGCUUACCUGGUUGGAGCUGAGCCAGAAAGGCUGACUCUCACCGUAGCAAGUUCUAUAUCACUCCAGCGUCCUGGAUACUCUGGGAGAACUGGCCAACGUCAGAGAGCUCUCUUCCGCACCAGCCUCUGGGUUCUGGUUCAUUUGCUGGUUGGUGGCAUAUAAUACAACCAGUUGGAAUUCACCUCUCUCUACCUCCUAUAUUUUUUUUGAACAACUAUUACGUGCUAGGCAUUGUUCUAGGAACAGGAGCGAGAGCACUGAACACAACACAGAUGAAGCCGCUGCUCUCACGGAACAGACAUUCCAGAACUGGGAUUGCCUCUCCCGCAGCACACCCCCAGUCAACUUGCCCUCCACGGAUGCUGCCUGUCGCUCACCUCUGCUCAAGCUCCUUCGUUCUUGGAAAGCUUACGGUUAUAUCUUUGAUUAUAAUCUCCUGGAGAAUAAGAGUCCUGACUUCUAUUCUUUGGUUUGCUGUCGGAGCAUGGGGUGGGGAGGAAACAAACAUUUCUGUUAUGUGCUGUAAACAUUAACAUAUCCGUUCAUCCAAUCCUCACAAAACUGCAGACUCUGCGUUAUUGUCCCCAGUUUAUAAACAGGGAAGUGAGGCUGAAUUCAUCCACGGGCGCACAACUGCCAACUGGUGGGCCUGAGGUUUCAACCCUGACCUAUUAGCAUUGUAGGCGACACUGGUCCCACUCUGGAGCAAGGAGUGAGUAUUCGUGUUGUCAGUGAGUAAUGAGAACAGGGAAGCGACAAGCUCUAGUUCUUAGAUACAGGCUGUUCAACAGAAGCAAUUAACCCCCACCCCCUGCCCAGUCUACUGGAUUAUAAAUCCUUCCUUUGCUAGUAGCCAAGUGGCCACAGGUA